AUUGAACGCUGGCGGCAGGCCUAACACAUGCAAGUCGAGCGGAUGAAGGGAGCUUGCUCCUGGAUUCAGCGGCGGACGGGUGAGUAAUGCCUAGGAAUCUGCCUGGUAGUGGGGGAUAACGUCCGGAAACGGGCGCUAAUACCGCAUACGUCCUGAGGGAGAAGGUGGGGGAUCUUCGGACCUCACGCUAUCAGAUGAGCCUAGGUCGGAUUAGCUAGUUGGUGGGGUAAAGGCCUACCAAGGCGACGAUCCGUAACUGGUCUGAGAGGAUGAUCAGUCACACUGGAACUGAGACACGGUCCAGACUCCUACGGGAGGCAGCAGUGGGGAAUAUUGGACAAUGGGCGAAAGCCUGAUCCAGCCAUGCCGCGUGUGUGAAGAAGGCCUUCGGAUUGUAAAGCACUUUAAGUUGGGAGGAAGGGCAGUAAGUUAAUACCUUGCUGUUUUGACGUUACCAACAGAAUAAGCACCGGCUAACUUCGUG
rnacentral:rRNA from 1 species